rnacentral:rRNA from 1 species
AGUGAACGUUGGCGGCGUGGAUUAGGCACGCAAGUCGAGCGAGAACCGUAGCAAUACGGGGACAGCGGCGAAAGGGACAGUAAUGUGUAGGUACCUACCCCGGGGUCUGGGAUAGCUGCGGGAAACUGCAGGUAAUACCGGAUAAUGUCUUCGGACCAAAGGUGUGAUUCGACCUUGGGAGGGGCCUGCAUCCUAUUAGCUUGUUGGCGGGGUAACGGCCCACCAAGGCAACGAUGGGUAGCGGGUGUGAGAGCACGACCCGCGUCAUUGGGACUGAGAUACUGCCCAGAUACCUACGGGUGGCUGCAGUCGAGGAUCUUCGGCAAUGGGCGAAAGCCUGACCGAGCGACGCCGCGUGCGGGAUGAAGGCCUUCGGGUUGUAAACCGCAGUCGUAGAGGAGGAAAUGCAGGGGGGUUCUCCCUUCUGUUUGACCUAUUCUAGGAGGAAGGACGGGCUAAGUUCGUGCCAGCCGCCGCCGUAA